rnacentral:rRNA from 1 species
UGGGGGAUAUUGCACAAUGGGCGAAAGCCUGAUGCAGCGACGCCGCGUGGGGGAUGAAGGCCUUCGGGUUGUAAACUUCUUUUGCUCUGAACAAGGCGCACCAUGGGGUGUGUUGAGUGUAGGGGUUGAUUAGCGCCGGCUAACUACGUGCCAGCAGCCGCGGUAAUACGUAGGGCGCGAGCGUUGUCCGGAAUUAUUGGGCGUAAAGGGCUUGUAGGUGGCUGGUUGCGUCUGUCGUGAAAGCUCAUGGCUUAACUGUGGGUUUGCGGUGGGUACGGGCUGGCUUGAGUGCAGUAGGGGAGGCUGGAAUUCCUGGUGUAGCGGUGGAAUGCGCAGAUAUCAGGAGGAAUACCGGUGGCGAAGGCGGGUCUCUGGGCUGUUACUGACACUGAGGAGCGAAAGCAUGGGGAGCGAACAG